UACGUAGGGUGCAAGCGUUAAUCGGAAUUACUGGGCGUAAAGCGUGCGCAGGCGGUUUUGUAAGUUUGUCGUGAAAUCCCCGGGCUCAACCUGGGAAUGGCGAUGAAGACUGCAAGGCUAGAAUCUGGCAGAGGGGGGGUAGAAUUCCACGUGUAGCAGUGAAAUGCGUAGAGAUGUGGAGGAACACCGAUGGCGAAGGCAGCCCCCCUGGGUCAAGAUUGACGCUCAUGCAC
rnacentral:rRNA from 1 species